AGCUGAGGAGGCCUUUAAAGUCAAGGCCAGGACAGCCUGGCCCAGUUAGAAACAGCACACGGACGACAAAACAUUGGUGAGAUUCUCCAGAAUCAAACGGGGACAUUCCCUCAUCAUCUGGAAGGAGGAAGCCGCCAUGAACGCAACACAGAGGAGUGGCCGUCAAACCGUUACCAUUACUAACUUUUAGUAAUGGUAAGGGUUCCACGGCUCUCGCUCAACAUCAGCUGGACCUGGCGGGGUUUGAAGCAAGCGGCGGCCGUUUUUAAUGUUAAUAUUUGUGUGAAGUUGUGCUGCAGUGAAAUAAAAGUUCUCCAAUCAAA